CCACGGGGGGCAGCAGUGAGGAAUAUUGGUCAAUGGCCGCAGGGCUGAACCAGCCAAGUCGCGUGAGGGAUGACGGUCCUAUGGAUUGUAAACCUCUUUUGUCGGGGAGCAAAAGACGCCACGCGUGGCGUUCCGAGAGUACCCGAAGAAAAAGCAUCGGCUAACUCCGUGCCAGCAGCCGCGGUAAUACGGAGGAUGCGAGCGUUAUCCGGAUUUAUUGGGUUUAAAGGGUGCGCAGGCGGAAGAUCAAGUCAGCGGUAAAAGCCCGGGGCUCAACCCCGGCGAGCCGUUGAAACUGGCUGUCU
rnacentral:rRNA from 1 species